rnacentral:rRNA from 1 species
AUGAGCAGAGCACUAGCGCGGCCCCUCACCCGCAUCUCAUCUCUCUUUCCCCCCUUCGCUUCCUUCGUUUGUGCGUUGCCUUUUUCUUUCCGCCGCGGCAACUGUGAGCCGGCCCGAUCGAGCCGCCCACCUCGAGAGGCCGCCAUAAUUCAUUCCAUCCAUUCAUCCGCUGCCGCGUAUAUAAGCGCGGCCAUUGGGGCGCUCGUGGGGUGCUCGUCACAUCGUCGCAUCAGGCGCGCGCAGGCCGAGAUCAGAUCGGCGGCGGCGGCGGCGACGGCGACGGCGACCAUGUUCAGCGGGACGCAGCAGAAGUGCAAGGUGUGCACCAAGACGGUGUACCCCAUGGACCAGCUCUCCACCGACGGCGCCGUCUUCCACCGCGCCUGCUUCAAGUGCCACCACUGCAAGUCCACCCUCUCCUUUAGCAGCUACUCCUCCUUUGAAGGAGUGCCCUACUGCAAGCCCCAUUUCGCGCAGCUGUUCAAGGAGACCGGGAGCUACAACAAGAGCUUCCAGUCACAAUCCCCCGCGAAAUCUGCGACGGAGAAGUUGACUCCUGAGCUGACCAGAUCGCCAAGCAAAGCUGCGGGCAUGUUUUCGGGAACGCAGGACAAGUGCGCCACUUGUGGUAAAACAGCAUACCCUCUUGAGAAGGUGACAGUUGAAGAGAAGUCCUACCACAAGUCCUGCUUCAAAUGCUCUCAUGGAGGCUGCGCCCUCUCGCCGUCCAACUACGCGGCCUUGGAAGGCAUCCUCUACUGCAAGCACCAUUUCUCCCAGCUUUUCAAGGAGAAGGGGAGCUACAACCAUCUGAUCAAGUGCGCAUCGGUCAAGCGCGCAGCAGAGGCGCAAACAGCACAGGCGGCGGCACAAACAGCUCCGGCGGCUGCUGAAUCCUCCUGA